UCAAAAUGUCCUGUCACGAUUCCUGAGGAUCAAAAGAAGUUUAUUGACCAAGUGGUAGAGAAAAUAGAGGAUUUAUUACAAAGUGAAGAAAACAAGAACUUGGAUUUAGAGCCAUGUACCGGGUUCCAAAGAAAACUAAUUUAUCAGACUUUGAGCUGGAAGUAAGUAUUUAUAUUGUAUGCAGCAGCUCUGUGGGGGACCCAGGAUUUAAAGACUAAAUAUAAUCUCUUAGUUCUCAUUUCCUUUUUGAAAUUCUGCGGUUCUCAGUGAUUUGACUACAUGAAGUUCCCCCUACUUUCUUAAGUUGAAUACUCACUUAAUUUUCUUUUGUUAUU
rnacentral:lncRNA from 1 species